rnacentral:rRNA from 1 species
GACGAACGCUGGCGGCGUGCCUAAUACAUGCAAGUCGAGCGCAGGAAGCUCACGGAACUCUUCGGAGGGAAGUGAAGGGAAUGAGCGGCGGACGGGUGAGUAACACGUAAGGAACCUGCCCCAAGGAUUGGGACAACUCCGAGAAAUCGGAGCUAAUACCGAAUAGUUCUUCAGACCGCAUGGUCUGAUGAUGAAAGGCGCUUCGGCGUCACCUUGGGAUGGCCUUGCGGUGCAUUAGCUAGUUGGUGGGGUAAUGGCCCACCAAGGCGACGAUGCAUAGCCGACCUGAGAGGGUGAUCGGCCACACUGGGACUGAGACACGGCCCAGACUCCUACGGGAGGCAGCAGUAGGGAAUCUUCCACAAUGGACGAAAGUCUGAUGGAGCAACGCCGCGUGAGUGAUGAAGGUUUUCGGAUCGUAAAACUCUGUUGUAAGGGAAGAACAGGUAUGAGAGGUAAUGCUCAUGCUAUGACGGUACCUUGCGAGAAAGCCACGGCUAACUACGUGCCAGCCGCCGCAGUAAAAC